rnacentral:rRNA from 1 species
AGAGUUUGAUCCUGGCUCAGAAUCAACGCUGGCGGCGCGCUUAACACAUGCAAGUCGAACGAGAAAGGGGAGCAAUCCCUGAGUACAGUGGCGUACGGGUGAGUAACACGUGGAUGAUCUACCUCUGAGUGGGGGAUAACGCUGGGAAACCGGCGCUAAUACCGCAUAAGCUCGGAAGAGGAAAGCAGCAAUGCGCUGAGAGAGGAGUCCGCGGCCGAUUAGCUAGUUGGUAGGGUAACGGCCUACCAAGGCGAAGAUCGGUAGCCGGCCUGAGAGGGCACACGGCCACACUGGCACUGAAACACGGGCCAGACUCCUACGGGAGGCAGCAGUGGGGAAUCUUGCACAAUGGGGGAAACCCUGAUGCAGCGACGCCGCGUGAGCGAUGAAGCCCUUCGGGGUGUAAAGCUCUUUCGGCAGGAACGAUAAUGACGGUACCUGCAGAAGAAGCUGCGGCUAACUACGUGCCAGCAGCCGCGGUAAUACGUAGGCAGCGAGCGUUGUUCGGAGUUACUGGGCGUAAAGAGUGCGUAGGUGGUUUUCUAAGUUUGGUGUGAAAUCUCCCGGCUUAACUGGGAGGGUGCGCCGAAAACUGGGAGACUGGAGUGUGGGAGAGGAAAGCGGAAUUCCUGGUGUAGCGGUGAAAUGCGUAGAUAUCAGGAGGAACACCUGCGGUGUAGACGGCUUUCUGGACCACUACUGACACUGAGGCACGAAAGCGUGGGUAGCAAACAGGAUUAGAUACCCUAGUAGUCC